rnacentral:rRNA from 1 species
CCUGGUUGAUCCUGCCAGUAGUCAUAUGCUUGUCUCAAAGAUUAAGCCAUGCAUGUCUAAGUAUAAGCGACUAUACUGUGAAACUGCGAAUGGCUCAUUAAAUCAGUUAUGGUUUAUUUGAUGGUACCUUGCUACUUGGAUAACCGUAGUCAUUCUAGAGCUAAUACAUGCAGGAGUUCCCGACUUCGGAAGGGAUGUAUUUAUUAGAUAAGAAACCAAACCGGUCCCCGGUUGCGUGCUGAGUCAUAAUAGCUGCUCGAAUCGCACGGCUCUACGCCGGCGAUGGUUCAUUCAAAUUUCUGCACUAUCAGCUUUCGAUGGUAGGAUAGAGGCCUACCAUGGCGUUAACGGGUAAUGAAGAAUUAGGGUUCGAUUCCGGAGAGGAAGCCAGAGAAAUGGCUACCACAUCCAAGGAAGGCAGCAGGCGCGUAAAUUGCCCGAAUCCUGACGCAGGGAGGUAGUGACAAGAAAUAACAAUACAUGGCCUUUUAGGUCUUGUAAUUGGAAUGAGUGCAAUUUACAUCUCUUCACGAGGAUCAAUUGGAGGGCAAGUCUGGUGCCAGCAGCCGCGGUAAUUCCAGCUCCAAUAGCGUACAUUAAAGUUGUUGCAGUUAAAACGCUCGUAGUCGGAUUUCGGGGCUGGCCGGCCGGUCUGCCGAUGGGUAUGCACUGGUUGGCGCGUCCUUCCUCCCGGAUACCGCGCCUACUCUUAACUGAGCGGGCGCGGAAGACGGGACGUUUACGUUGAAUAAAUCANAGUGUUUCAAGNNNNNNNUCGCUCUUGCAUGGGUUAGCAUGGGAUAAUGAAAUCGGACUCUGGUGCUAUUUUGUUGGUUUCGAACACCGGAGUAAUGAUUGACAGGGACAGUCNGGGGCACUCGUAUUUC